rnacentral:lncRNA from 1 species
ACUCAAAUUUAAGGGAAAUAACAUAUAACCAAACUAGGGUACAUAGGGGUUCCAAAAGUUACUUGAAAACACUUUUAACAAGUCAAACAUGAACCCAAAAAUCCACCCUUUGGAUUUGGCCGAAAAUCCCCAAAAACAUGGCACCAAAUUUUAGCUCCAAUAUUCAUGCUCAUAUGAACUACAUCUACAACAUUUGAGAUGGCAAAUUUUCUAACAAAAUUUACAUUCAAAGAAGCAAGAAUAAAGCUUGUAACAUAUUACAACAUUAAAAUCAAAACUAUGAAAUACAAAACCCAAAAGGAUUCACCAACUACUAGACCUAGGCUCUGAUACCACUUGAAGGAAAUUUUGUGAAAAAC